UUUGAUCCUGGCUCAGGAUGAACGCUGGCGGCGUGCUUAACACAUGCAAGUCGAACGGGGAUGCAUUAAGAAGGAGUGCUUGCAUUCCGGAAGGAUGUAUCUUAGUGGCGGACGGGUGAGUAACGCGUGGGUAACCUGCCCCAUACCGGGGGAUACCACCUGGAAACAGGUGCUAAUACCGCAUAAGCGCACGGGAGCGCAUGCUCCUGUGUGAAAAACUCCGGUGGUAUGGGAUGGACCCGCGUCUGAUUAGCCAGUUGGCAGGGUAACGGCCUACCAAAGCGACGAUCAGUAGCCGGCCUGAGAGGGUGGACGGCCACAUUGGGACUGAGACACGGCCCAAACUCCUACGGGAGGCAGCAGUGGGGAAUAUUGCACAAUGGGGGAAACCCUGAUGCAGCGACGCCGCGUGAGUGAAGAAGUAUUUCGGUAUGCAAAGCUCUAUCAGCAGGAACGAGACAAGACGGUACCUGACUAAGAAGCCCCGGCUAACUACGUG
rnacentral:rRNA from 1 species